rnacentral:rRNA from 1 species
GAUGAACGCUAGCGGCAGGCCUAACACAUGCAAGUCGGAGGGGCAGCAUAGAUUGCUUGCAAUCUGAUGGCGACCGGCGCACGGGUGCGUAACGCGUAUACAAUUUACCUUAUACAAGGGGAUAGGCUUUAGAAAUGGAGAUUAAUACCCCAUGGUUCUGUUUUCUGCAUGGGAGAAUAGAUAAAGAUUUAUUGGUAUAAGAUAAGUAUGCGUCCUAUUAGCUAGAUGGUAAGGUAACGGCUUACCAUGGCGACGAUAGGUAGGGGUCCUGAGAGGGUUACUCCCCACACUGGUACUGAGACACGGACCAGACUCCGUACGGGAGGCAGCAGUGAGGAAUAUUGGACAA